rnacentral:rRNA from 1 species
UGAGGAAUAUUGGUCAAUGGGCGGGAGCCUGAACCAGCCAAGCCGCGUGAGGGAUGAAGGCCCUAUGGGUCGUAAACCUCUUUUGUCAGGGAACAAAAGCGAGUAUGUAUACUUGUCUGAGUGUACCUGAAGAAAAAGCAUCGGCUAACUCCGUGCCAGCAGCCGCGGUAAUACGGAGGAUGCGGAGCGUUCAGUCCGGAUUUUAUUGGGGUUUUAAAAGGGGUGCGUAGGCGGCGGUGCAAGUCAGCGGUAAAAGCCCGGGGCUCAACCCCGGCGAGCCGUUGAAACUGCAGUGCUAGAGAAGGCGAGAGGUACGCGGAAUGCGCAGUGUAGCGGUGAAAUGCUUAGAUAUUGCGCAGAACUCCGAUUGCGAAGGCAGCGUACUGGCGCCUGACUGACGCUGAGGCACGAAAGCGUGGGGAUCGAACAGGAUUAGAUACCC